rnacentral:tRNA from 1 species
GGGGACGUAGCUCAACUGGGAGAGCGCUGCCUUCGCACGGCAGAGGUCAGGGGUUCGAAGCCCCUCGUCUCCA